CAAUAGCGUAUAUUAAAGUUGUUGCGGUUAAAAAGCUCGUAGUUGGAUUUCUGCCGAGGACGACCGGUCCGCCCACUGGGUGUGUAUCUGGCUUGGCCUUGGCAUCUUCUUGGAGAACGUGACUGCACUUGACUGUGUGGCACGGUAUCCAGGACUUUUACUUUGAGGAAAUUAGAGUGUUUCAAGCAGGCUUCCGCCUUGAAUACAUUAGCAUGGAAUAAUAAGAUAGGACCUCGGUUCUAUUUUGUUGGUUUCUAGAGCUGAGGUAAUGAUUAAUAGGGAUAGUUGGGGGUAUUCAUAUUUAAUUGUCAGAGGUGAAAUUCUUGGAUUUAUGAAAGAUGAACUUAGGCGAAAGCAUUUACCAAGGAUGUUUUCAUUAAUCAAGAACGAAAGUUAGGGGAUCGAAGAUGAUUAGAUACCAU
rnacentral:rRNA from 1 species